GCCGCCGCCCCCCUGCCCAUCUCCUCCUCUCUCAAUUCUUGCAGCCACCAAACCCUAGCCGCCCCCCUCAAUCCCCUCCUCCCAAGGUGCCAAUCCUUGCCGCUCGGAUCAUCGUCGUCGUGGUGCGAGUCUUCAAUCGUUUUGGUGGAGGGAAGAAGGGAGGAAGGAAAGGGGGAGAAUCCAAGGUGAUUUUUGUGUUCAUUCCUUGUUCAUUUGCGCUGCAAUUUAAUUGAUUAGAGGUUGCGUUUGCGAUUGGGUAGAGGGGGCUGUCCAGAAUUUUAGGUGGUGGGUGAACAGCAGUAGUCUAGCAGUUUCUAUGUUUUUUCGUGAGGAAUUAAGGGAAAUAAGUUUGGGGAUCAUGUAGAACUUUACCUUACCUUUCCAACGAGUAUUUAUGCGCUCAAUUUGGAGUUAUAAAUUGAAAGUUAUCACCGUUUGAAUCCGGGUAUGUGGCUGUCCAAAAAACAGAUUUUCAGGGGGAUGAACAGCAGCAGUAUUAGCAGUUUCUGGGGAUUUUUCGGGAGUAAUUAGUGUUAAUCAGUAUGAGAAUCAUGUAGGGAUUUAUGUUAUCUUUCCAACAAGUACUUAUGCGCUCGAUUCGGAGUUAUAAUUUAGGAGAUAUCGUUGUUUGAAUCCGGUUAUGUUGCUGUCCAAAAAAACAGAUUUUUCAGGUGGGUGAACAGCAGUGGUAUUAGCAGUUUCUGGGAAUUUUUGGUGGGUAAUUAGUGUUAAUCAGUAUGAUAAUCAUGUAGGGAUUUGUCUUAUCUUUCCAAUGAGUACUUAUGCGCUUGAUUUGGAAUUAUAUUUUAAAAGAUAUCGCUGUUUGAAUCCGGGUAUGUCGCUGUCCAAAAGACAAAGAGAAACAGAUUACAGGGUUCAUCUUGUGGACUGUGUUGGGCUAAUUAGAUAUUGGAAUUUAAUUAUAAAUUGUAUACAAAACUUGUGGGGAAUUUUAUGUAGAUGCCUCUGGAGUUUUUGUUUGUUACUACUGCUGUCAUAAUUUUAAAGUUAUGAAAUUAUUAAGCAGCGCCGCUGCAGUUUGGUGGGUGUAGGGAGAGAUGUAACCCGCGGCGGGGUUUGAGUUUGUGCGUAGUUGCGGCGUCGCUUAUGAGCCUGAUUAUGUGAAAUUGGUGCACUAAAUUGGUUGUUAAAAACAGGUAGUGGACUUCCGGAUCGUACUUAGGGAUUUGCCGAACUUCCGGUAAAGGCAAGUAAAUACAGUGGUGGUUGCUACCGUUUGGUUUGCAUCCUAUUCCCUGUCAUUGAGUAUGCAUAAGUUUUAAUUAUGUUAAUCAUUGAAUUCUAUGAUGAAGUUUAUUUGUUUGGAAGUAUUAAUUCUCAAUUGUCUAAUAUUGUGGAUGAUCAUAAUUUGGUAAUGAUAUAUGUGGUUGAUUCCCAUCUUGGAUGAAGUUGAAGUAUCUUUUUGAAUCAUGUUAUAUGAAGUGUUGUAGGCAUGACAUGCACAUCACAUCAUCCAUCUUGCAUUUUGAAGUUAUGUCGUGAUCUUAUGGUCCGACCGUACCGGUACAUUUUUAGCAUCGUACGUUGCCCGAGGAGGGGUACGAUGCGGCUUCAUAUCCUUAGUGGUAUGAAGGCAGAAGUCAUCCUUGCAUUUGCAGACAUUUGCACUCAUGAGGAAUAUAUGAAGUGUGACAUUACUAUGUUACUAUUGUAGUUUCUACCUGCGAGGUGUGGUAACUAGGUGUGUUGUACGUUGUAUACGUGCUGCACCUUCGUAAUAAGAAGGUUGUGGAAUCAAGUGGUGGUAAAACAAUGUUCUUAUGUGGUUAAACUGUUUGAUAUUAUUUUACUUGCUGAGAUGUGUCAUCUCACUCUUGCAUUACUCAAUGCAGGUACUUGGUACAUGUUGGGAAUGAGGGGAGUAGCAGCACGUCCACUUUUACUCUCAC
rnacentral:lncRNA from 1 species